rnacentral:lncRNA from 1 species
CUUGUAUUCUUUCCAAAAAGGCUGCACCAACUGAGGCUGGGGUAGUGAAGGACUAUGAAGCGACCCCAGAACUGAGCCAUACCAACGUGGGGGACAGAUGACAGGUGAGAAAGAUCAGCAGUGGACCAGGAAGGGGAUGUCUCCAAAGAGCCCAUGACCUCCCUCCUGCCAUGAGAGUGCAGGGAAGGCGAUGCUGAGCACUUUUCAGUACCAGAAUUCCCAGCCAAGGACUAUGAUCCUGAACAGAAAGAGCACUGGACUGGGAGUCCCAGAAUGCAUGUGUGGUAUUCCGCAGAAUCUGUUUCCACUGUGUGGAGCGGAGAGAACACAGGCUUGCAUGACAGCUCUUCGAUCCACGUCAGCUCCACCAGAGGCUAGCGGGAUGACCUGAGAGAGCAUCUUAACCUCUCGGAACUUCCGUUUCCUCAACUUGGAAUGGGUUCCAGUGAUAUCUACUGUAUGGGGUC